rnacentral:lncRNA from 1 species
GGAAUAUGUAAAUCUUGUAAGUUUCCAGAUCAUCCCAACACAUGAAUUUUUUUUUUUUUUGUUCUUUUCAAAUGUUAAAUUCUCUUAUUUGUUCUCGACCUCUUAGGCGGCCAUGAGCUCAGAUGGGGUUGACGAGAUCCUGGACAAGAAGCUUGUUGGAACAUGCAGUCUAGAGCAAGUGAGGAGUCUUGCUGCAAUUGCACAUAAAUGCAUACACAGAACACCUAGGAAGCGUCCUUCCAUGGGCGAAAUUUCACAUGCAAUAUUGAGAAUAAGACAGAAGCGCCUUGUCAAAGAAGAUACCAUGUCCUUUACAGGUUAUGACAGUUCAAGAAUGGCAAGUAGGAUAGAACAGCAGCAGGUUGAAUUGAGAAACAUGGCCGGCAUUAAUGAAAGAGAAGCUGAAUGACACUUUUCAUGAGCACUUUUGUCUUUUCAUUCUUUGUUUCAAAGUUUCAGCUUAUUUUUGCAGCACUGGCCUUACCAUGUAGAUUUGAGAAGCCAAACAAAAUGGGAAAGGUUUCUUGCUUUUGUUUUUGGUCAAGUGAACAUUGGCUAGUUUUUGGUCAAGUAGUUCGUUUUUCUUACUGUGUUUGUUCCUAUACAACUCAAGUUUGCAUCCCUGCAAAUUUUAUUUCGUGAAUGUAAAAUUUUAAUUUUGUUAGAAUUUUUAUGAAUUUAACAACUUAAUAUAUUUAUAAGGCAUGAUUUGUGAUAAAUUUGUAGAAAGAAAAUUUUUAAUAAAAUAAUUGCUGAUAAAUUUAAAAUUUAUAAUAAUUAAGGGUAUUUUAGUAAACUUACCCAUUACGAUACAGUACCAUACCAUCAAACCAAACAAAAAAACUGUUAUUAAACAACAAUGAAUGAUACAAUUUAUCCAAAUAUUGUAUUGUACUAUACUAUACAGUACCAUUCAUUAUGACAAACCACCAUCCAAACAGACUGUAAGUAAGUAACCAGUUCACAUCUGCCACCUUAAUAUAGGAAUAAAAGGGGUAUCUCAAAUGAACCUUUUAUCUCGUAAAUGAUGUUACCUCACUUUAAUGUAACUGAAUGAGACUUGUCUUCUAGGGGCUAAUAUGAUGAUGGUGAAACAUGGAUUAUGGAUUUACUUAGGACAUAUUUAGCAAAAAGUUCCUAUUUACAUUAGGUAAAAAAGGGUUCAAAAAGAAGCUGUCAUAUAGGUUCUGAAGGUCUUACAGAUUAUUGAAAGCAUAUGGAUUUCCGACUCUCAGAUAGUACAAUAAUGCAUAUUAAACAUAUGGAUUUCCAACUCUAAGAUAGUACAAUAAUGCAUAUUAUGCUCCUCUAUUUGUAUUUUUUCAUGAAGGUGAAUGUUCUUGAUAAAGUUUUGAUUUAGAUUAGUUUUUGUGCAGGUAACACUUCUAGGUAGGCUUCAUCAUCGGAAUUUAGUAAAUUUGGUGGGCUAUUGUGUUGAUAAAGGACAUCGCAUGUUAAUCUAUGAAUUCAUGAGUAAUGGAAGUUUGGAAAACCUUUUAUACAGUAAGUGUAUUACUCUUUUUUUGUUGAUAACAUUACUUUAUUGGAGAUAACUAAUGAUGAGAAACUUCUAGACAUUUUGCUCGUCUUAGCUUUCCGCGGGCGCUUAUCGGCAUAAAAGAUUGUUUUCCAGGCAGCUAAAUUUAGAGAUGUAAUUAUCAUUCUCUGAAUAAGAGAGUUUUUUAUUAUUGGAUAAAACUAAAGGUUUCAACUUAUACUGAACCAAGGUGUCUGAAAAGAUGUGAUUUUGAAAUAUGAAUCAAGUAUCCCAAAAAUCAGGCAAGCAAAAGAAGUGAAAAAGAACUUUGAAUUGAAACAAAUAUUUUCAUUGUCUUAAAAAUAUACUAUUUCUUUCUCUCUAUAUUAACCAAAAUAAAAGAACGGGGUGGGCUUCCAGAGCUUGUUUUCUUCUAGCUCUCGGAGUACCUAAGGGGCAACGGCUUAACCUCCAACUUGCAAUCAUCUCUGCUGCUACUAUCAACUGUUAUAUUCAUCUGUGUACAUUACAUGAACUCAAAAAAUCUGCAAUGUAAAAACAAAUUCCCGUGGAAUCAUCACGUAAAGGAAUCUGGAGUGGAUGAUCAGUAAACAGGAAAUAAUCUGAAUGUUAAUUGUCUCGAUGGUUAUAUAUUCCAUGGAGCUUCUUGUUGUCCUUCUGUGUGGCUUCUCUAUUUUUAACCUUUUGUUAACUAACUAGAGGUGAUGGAACUUUUUCGUUCUGCGCAUGUUCAGGUGAGGAAUACAGCUUGAGUUGGGAAGAUCGGGUGCAAAUAGCCCUUGAUGUUUCACAUGGCGUUGAGUAUCUCCAUGAUGGGGUAGGCUGACUGACCAAUUUACUUCUAUUUCCCAUGGUCAGAAGACUGGUUACUUAUUCUUGGUUCACAUUUCUUCCAACAGGCAGUUCCCCCAGUGAUACACCGUGAUUUGAAGUCUGCCAAUAUAUUGCUAGACCAUUCUAUGAGAGCUAAGGUCAGUGGGGCGCAUGCAUCAUUCGUUAUCAAAUUAGUUAGAAAAUUAAAGAACACUCAAGUUUGCUGCAAUUUUUAUCACUAUUUACUUCCUUUGCAUAUAAGCUGAUAUAAUUGACUCCAAUUCCUUAAUAACUAGGUUGCAGACUUUGGGCUUUCAAAGGAAGAGGUAUAUGAUGGCCGCAACUCAGGCCUUAAGGGUACAUACGGCUACAUAGAUCCAAUGUAUAUAUCCACAAGCAAGUUUACAACAAAGAGUGACAUAUAUAGCUUUGGCGUUAUCCUUUUUGAACUAAUCACCGCUAUUCAUCCACAUCAGAACUUAAUGGAAUAUGUAAAUCUUGUAAGUUUCCAGAUCAUCCCAACACAUGAAUUUUUUUUUUUUUUGUUCUUUUCAAAUGUUAAAUUCUCUUAUUUGUUCUCGACCUCUUAGGCGGCCAUGAGCUCAGAUGGGGUUGACGAGAUCCUGGACAAGAAGCUUGUUGGAACAUGCAGUCUAGAGCAAGUGAGGAGUCUUGCUGCAAUUGCACAUAAAUGCAUACACAGAACACCUAGGAAGCGUCCUUCCAUGGGCGAAAUUUCACAUGCAAUAUUGAGAAUAAGACAGAAGCGCCUUGUCAAAGAAGAUACCAUGUCCUUUACAGGUUAUGACAGUUCAAGAAUGGCAAGUAGGAUAGAACAGCAGCAGGUUGAAUUGAGA